rnacentral:lncRNA from 1 species
UUAAACUCAUUUUUGUAAUAAACUUGGACGAAAAAGGAGGUGGUCUGGAGCCUUCCAUUCCCUUCCCUGAGUACUUGGAUACGAGUAGCCUUACUCGGCCAUUCGAGUAUUUGUCGUCCGUCCAAAACACUUUAAGAUUAUUUAAAUCCUUUCACAAAUUAAGGAUGAAAAGGGAGAUGGUCUAGAGCCUUCUAUUCCUCUUCUCGAGUACUUGGAUACGAGUAGCCUUACUCGGCCAUUCGAGUAAUCGUCAUCCAACAAAAC